AUUCUAAGUGCUUGGUAGAUAUCAACACAUUUAAUAAUCAAAACAACUCUAAGAGGUAAUUAGUACUAUUAUCUCCAUUUUAUUACUGAGGAAACCAAAGCACAAAGAGAGAAAGAAAAGAAAGAGAAAAAAGGAAGAAAGAAAAGAAAGAUGAAAGAAAGAAAGAGAAAGAAGAGAGAGGGAGAGAGAGAAAGAAAGAGAAGGAAAGAAAGAAGGAAGAAGAAAGAAAGAAAGAAAGAAAGAAAGAAAGAAAGAAAGAAAGAAAGAAAGAAAGAAAGAAAGAAAGAAAGAAAAAAGGAAGGAAGGAAAAGAAACACAUGGAAAGUGCUUCUUUGGACCUUUUAAGUUGCAUUAUCCCAUAAAAUGUGGUGGAUUCAAUGUUGUAUGGCCUGUAAAACUAAGUAAUGAAGGCUGAUAUGUACCCACCUGGCUCUGUCUUGGGAUCACACAACUUGGGAGCCAAAACAGGUAUGUAAGAAGUACAGCUACCCUAAAGCCACCAUUCUGGAGUGAUUACAUGGAGAUACUACCUAGCGAUAGAGAGGAGGAUUUAGAAACUC
rnacentral:lncRNA from 10 species